rnacentral:tRNA from 1 species
GCGGGGGAUCUGGCGAUCAGCGGGGUCUCAUACGCCCUGCGCGCGGGUUCGAUCCCCGCCCCCGCCACCA